rnacentral:lncRNA from 1 species
CCAGAGACUCAGUGUGCCACACUUCUUUAAAAGAAAUACUUCAAACUGACCACGUGGUUGAAAAUAAUUUUUUGAAAUUCAACCUUUGAAAACCCAAUCCACAGCCGAGUUGUUGCAACCCAGGCUCUGAUACCACUAAAUGUAACACCCCAAACCCAGCUUGGAAGUUUGGCUCGAAUCUGGCGUGUCACAUUGAAGUGUUUUUCGAAAACCAUGUUUCCA